GCCCGUCUAGCUCAGUUGGUAGAGCGUUAGGCUCUUAACUUAAUGGUCGUGGGUUCAAGCCCCACGGUGGGCG